rnacentral:sRNA from 3 species
UGUAUCUGAAGCCUGACGAGGAUGAGAACCUCCGGGGGCAAGAGGUUCGACCCGAGCGAAGCGAGAGAACGUUGCGUCAGCAACGGCCCGCAGGGCGAGC